rnacentral:misc_RNA from 1 species
GAUGAAGAACGCAGCGAAAUGCGAUAAGUAAUGUGAAUUGCAGAAUUCAGUGAAUCAUCGAAUCUUUGAACGCACAUUGCGCCCGUCAGUAUUCUGGCGGGCAUGCCUGUUCGAGCGUCAUUACGCCCCUCAAGUCCCCUGUGGACUUGGUGUUGGGGAUCGGCGAGGCUGGUUUUCCAGCACAUCCGUCCCUUAAAUUAAUUGGCGGUCUCGCCGUGGCCCUCCUCUGCGCAGUAGUAAAACACUCGCAACAGGAGCCCGGCGCGGUCCACUGCCGUAAAACCCCCCAACUUUUUAUAGUUGACCUCGAAUCAGGUAGGACUACCCGCUGAACUUAAGCAUAUCAAUAAGCGGAGGA